rnacentral:rRNA from 1 species
UACGAAGGGUGCAAACGUUGCUCGGAAUCAUUGGGCGUAAAGCGCACGUAGGCGGCUUGCCAAGUCGGACGUGAAAUCCCUCAGCUCAACUGAGGACGUGCAUCCGAAACUGGCGAGCUUGAGUGCUGAAGAGGAUCGCGGAAUUCCCGGUGUAGAGGUGAAAUGCGCAGAUAUCAGGAGGAACACCGGUGGCGAAGGCGGAUCUCUGGGCCGAUACUGACGCUGAGGAGCGAAAGCGUGGGGAGCGAACAGG